rnacentral:rRNA from 1 species
GCCCCAGACUCCUACGGGAGGCAGCAGUUAGGAAUAUUCGUCAAUGGGGGAAACCCUGAACGAGCAAUGCCGCGUGAGUGAUGAAGGCCCUCUGGGUUGUAAAACUCUGUUGUUUGGAAAGAAUUGUGAGAUUAGGAAAUGAGUCUUACUUGACGGUACCAUUCAAGAAAGCCACGGCUAACUACGUGCCAGCAGCCGCGGUAAUACGUAGGUGGCGAGCGUUAUCCGGAUUUAUUGGGCGUAAAGCGUGCGCAGGCGGUUUGUUAAGUCUAAAAUCAAAGCCCGAAGCUUAACUUCGGUUCGUUUUAGAAACUGGCAGGCUUGAGUAUGGUAGAGGCAAACGGAAUUUCUAGUGUAGCGGUAAAAUGCGUAGAUAUUAGAAGGAACACCAGUGGCGAAGGCGGUUUGCUGGGCCAUUACUGACGCUCAUGCACGAAAGCGUGGGGAGCAAAUAGGAUUAGAUACCCGAGUA